ACAUGCCUACAACAUUGUGUUAAUGCACUGUAUCCCAUAAGAACUCCAAAGUUAAGCAUGCUCAAGCUAGAGUAGCAUUGGAAUGGGUGACCUCUCGGGAAGUCUUAGUGUUUUACAUGCC
rfam:Picea glauca, whole genome shotgun sequence.